rnacentral:rRNA from 1 species
AUGUUCUAACGUUGGCCCCUAAUCGGGGUUGCGGACAGUGCCUGGUGGGUAGUUUGACUGGGGCGGUCUCCUCCCAAAGAGUAACGGAGGAGCACGAAGGUGGGCUAAUCACGGUUGGACAUCGUGAGGUUAGUGCAAUGGCAUAAGCCCGCUUAACUGCGAGAAUGACGGUUCGAGCAGGUGCGAAAGCAGGUCAUAGUGAUCCGGUGGUUCUGAAUGGAAGGGCCAUCGCUCAACGGAUAAAAGGUACUCCGGGGAUAACAGGCUGAUACCGCCCAAGAGUUCAUAUCGACGGCGGUGUUUGGCACCUCGAUGUCGGCUCAUCACAUCCUGGGGCUGAAGUCGGUCCCAAGGGUAUGGCUGUUCGCCAUUUAAAGUGGUACGCGAGCUGGGUUUAGAACGUCGUGAGACAGUUCGGUCCCUAUCUGCCGUGGGCGUUGGAAGAUUGAAGGGGGCUGCUCCUAGUACGAGAGGACCGGAGUGGACGAACCUCUGGUGUUCGGGUUGUGUCGCCAGACGCAUUGCCCGGUAGCUAAGUUCGGAAUCGAUAACCGCUGAAAGCAUCUAAGCGGGAAGCGAGCCCUGAGAUGAGUCUUCCCUGAUACUUUAAGUAUCCUAAAGGGUUGUUCGAGACUAGAACGUUGAUAGGCAGGGUGUGUAAGCGCUGUGAGGCGUUGAGCUAACCUGUACUAAUUGCCCGUGAGGCUUAACCAU